UGGCAGAGAACGGAAGAUGGAGCCACCAU
rnacentral:piRNA from 1 species